AAAAUAAAAAUAAUAAAGAGAUUGCUCGAUCCCGUAA
rnacentral:tRNA from 1 species